CGGGGUUGGUUGCCACUCCUGUAACUGGAGGGCUGAAACUUUCAGUUCCAGCCUGAUCUCGGUGGGAAGGGACAUGAGUUGGAGGUUGAAUCCAUCCCCAGGGGCUGAUGAUUUGGUCAUUCAAGACUGUGUGACCAAGCCCCAAAAAACCCCAAAAGGAUGACCUCUGGAGAGCUUCUGGCCUGCAUGACUAGCCUCUAGAUCAUGCAUCAUGGCUCCUUCUCUCUUCACUGUCAAGAAGCAAGAAGAACACCCCCUGGACCUAACACACCCCCCACUCCAGAUCCUCCCACCCGUGUCUCAGGACACCAUUGGAAACACUGGUUAUUUUACCAAGGCUUUGACUGGAAUGUCAUAUUUGAAAAGACUCAGAUAUGAUCGGACAGCUUUAAGGAACUAAGGUUGACUUUAUAAAACCUGGAGCCAUAAAGCCCUUUGGAACUGUUGGCCUGAUACUUUGCUUACAGAGUUCCCAGCAGCCUCCCCAGUCACUGCAGGUAUCACAGUCUGUCUAGCCCACGCAGAGAUCCUAACUGCCCACACUGAGACAGAGACGGAGCUGGAACCACAGCCUUAUCAACCCGGGGACUUGGUUUGGAUGCGCUGCUGCCAAGUGGAAAACUUGGAGCCUCUCUGGAAGGGACCCUACAUCAUGAUCCUGACCACUCCCACCACUCUCAAGGUCGACAGGAUUACUCCCUGGAUCCACUACACUCACGUCCGGCCAGCUGACCCACAAGCCGUUCUCAAGGACUUUGUUCCAGAAUGAAAGAGCCAGCCAGACAAGGACAAUCCCUAAAGCUGAGACUGCACCGCUCUCACGUACCCCACUAAUGUUACUUAUACUAUUCCCUCUUUUUACACCAGUGCGGGGAGUAAAAAGUAACCCUCAUUAUCCUCCUUCUCCUUACCUUCGAGUCCUACAUAGUCAAUAGAUUAGUAUCUUUUGUCAAAGACAGAGACAGUACAGUUCAGCUCAGACAGUACUCAGGCAGUAAUACCAACCACUGAACCUUAUUGCUGAGACCAGCCUAGACCCAUGAUUGGGUCCUUCCUUAGGUUCCUCUGAGAGGGGGUAAUGUGGAGGCCGAGAAAAAUUAAGACCAUCCCACCUCAGGUUUAGCCUUAGCAUAAGUACAGCCAUCUUAGCUCCAGCAGCCAUCUCAGACCCCUGUGCCCAAGGGCUGAACUUUCCCCUACUUUACUUUAGUAACAAGAACCCCCACCCUGCUUUAGUAACAGGAACCCAUAAAUACCCCUGCCUUAAUUAAGCUCGGGGUUUAAGUCCCUACUCCGCUGUGUCGGAUAUACUUGUGCCCAAGCUUAAGCUUGUCAAAUAAACCCUUGUGUGAUUGCAUCAGUGUUGGCUCCUUGGUGGUCUCUUGGAUGCAAAAACUCGGAUAUAACAUUCCCUGCUACUCUCGGCCCUUGGGGUUGAUGUUUUGGGAGCCCUUUCUGGAGCCUAGGAUCCUUUAGCAGUCCAAGCAGAUCAAAGGCCCUUUUUAACUUGUCUUUCCUUAGCAAAGGUGAGAGAAUGAUGAUUUCACAAAGAACCAUGCUGCCCCUAGGGCCAUCUGCCCCUGCAAAAUGGAAUCCCUGCUCAUUUGUCAUCUAUUUCCUCACAGCAAAUGUGGGCAUGAUGUCCUGUGGGCAGUUUGUAAAUUGCCCAUCAGGCAUCCUCAAGGCAGGGGAGGCUGAAAAGGGUAAUCUUUUUUUUUUUUUUUUUUUUAACUGUACCUUAGUGAGAUGGGACUAAAACGAUUUUGAACAGCCAUCAAUGAUCUGCACACAUAUGACAAUCAGAAUGUACUUUCUAUCUAUAUGGAGUCCUCCUCUCUUUGCUCACUGUGUCUAGUUAAUGCUGAAGAUCUAAUUUUGAUAAUCUCCCAGGCCCUCUCAUCACAGGAUCUCAUCCCUCUCAUCCCUGCUGGGGAUGAGGUGGAGGGCAGGUCACUGUUUCAAAUUGAUUUUCCAGCUGGAGUAUGUAUGUAAGUAAGUAGGUAGAUAGGUAGGAACAAAGGGAAUUGAAUGCAGCCUGAUGGUCAAAGGUCCAGGCUCUGAGGUCAGACUAGGUGGGAUUGAAUUGUGGCUUUGCAAGUUACUAGCUGUUUGACAUUUCCUCUCUGAGCUUCAGUUAAUUAUAGUCCUUACUGGAUUGGAUUGUUGUGGGGCUGAUGUGAAAGAAGGCAUGGAAGAACGUGGGGCAUUUCCAGGCACAAAUUAUGUGCUUCAUUAGUGAUAGGCACUCAUGCAAUAAACAUUGUUGUGUUUUCAACCUGAUGAACACUUCUAGUUCACAGAGUUAUCUGUAGACCAGAGACCAGUGAUUGAACUACUGCUCAGUGAAAUAGCUCUUCCUUCUUCUGGUAAAUUCCCAGCCCCACCCUUUCCGCCCAGGGCCCCUUCAGUGACUCACAUCUCUUGUAUUCUCUCCUCUCCUCUCUCUCCCAGACAAAUGUCCUGAGGGAGGGAUUAAGGAAGUCACUUGUGUCCCUUCCUGGAGUCUUGGGGAGAGAGGACUUUAAUCCCGGGUUUCUAGCUUCUCAGCUAAAAGGUACUUACUUGAGUUGUGUGCCUGGUGUGGAGGUACUCCAUGUCGUUGACUGCAGCAUGGGCUUUGGGCCUGAGGCAGCUACUUUUGGGGCCCCACACCACACGUCCUCUGGCCACCUUUGAUUUGAGCUGAGGUUGUGUGGACGGUCCCAUGACCCUGCCAGUGCCUCAGGCAGCAGGCCUGUCUCUGCCUCAGUUAACAGAAGUGUGGUGAGACAUGAGGAGCUAAUACUGAGGGCCACACUCAUGCCAUGGAGGACACGGGCCAAUGCCCCAGCCUCCUGUCCUUCAAGGGUCCAUUCUGAAGUGCGUUCUACAAUUCCGCAGAGGGUCUCUGACUGCUGAGCUCCAUAUUAGUGGCUAGUUCAAGAUGCACCUGUCAGUUGGCCUUUUCUCUUUUCCUGACUCACAUUUUUCUGCACCCCCCCCCCAACGCCGCCCCCUGUCCCUGGGACCACCCUCCAGGAAGUCUGGAGUUCUGGUCUCAGGCACUGUUUUCAGGGGAACACAAUCCAAGCCCUUUGCCCUGUUUCCUCCUCAUUGUUUCUCCUCUGAUUGUCUUUGUGACUAGGAUCCCUCCCUGUCUGGAAGGAGAGGGGAGAGGAAGGGAACAGAAAGGAGUCUAACUGCCUCAGAGAUGGGACCUAAUUGUAUUCUGGAGUCUAGGAUGUGCUAGGGAUUUUCUGUUAUUGCCCUCAAAUUUUAGCAACAAACCUGUGAGGCAUAUUACUAUUAACCCCAUCUUAUGGAUGAGGAAGCUAUUUGGAGGCUGUGAGAAUUUAAGUAACCAGCUCAAGGUCAUACAACGGCAUUAUGGCAGAGCGGGUUUUAAACUCAGAUCUUUGCUCUUUUAGCUACUUGCCUUUAUGAGUGAGGUCCUUUGAUAGAAUCUGGAAGCAGGUCUUUGAAUCACGUGAGACUAUUGGGUUUUUUAAGAUAUUUUAACAGCUUUAUCGAUGUAGAAUUGGUAUUCAAUAAAGUGCAUGUACAACGUGA